ACGGAGGGUGCAAGCGUUAAUCGGAAUAACUGGGCGUAAAGCGCACGCAGGCGGUUAGAUAAGUCAGAUGUGAAAUCCCCGGGCUCAACCUGGGAACUGCAUUUGAAACUGUCUGACUAGAGUCUUGUAGAGGGGGGUAGAAUUCCAGGUGUAGCGGUGAAAUGCGUAGAGAUCUGGAGGAAUACCGGUGGCGAAGGCGGCCCCCUGGACAAAGACUGACGCUCAGGUGCGAAAGCGUGGGGAGCAAACAGGAUUAGAUACCCUGGUAGUCCACGCUGUAAACGAUGUCGAUUUGGAGUUUGUGCCAUUAUGAGCGUGGGUUCCGAAGCUAACGCGAUAAAUCGACCGCCUGGGGAGUACGGCCGCAAGGUUA
rnacentral:rRNA from 1 species